UAAAUUAAAUCAUUAAUAGUGUAAGUGCUUACAAUUGAAAUCUCCAUUAUAACAGUUAUGCCCAGAGUGCCUUGUCUAUGGUAAUCAUUGUGAUUGUUUACUGGUACAUGUAUGGUCUCAGACGAAUCCUCAUGAUUUAUGCAUUGAAGUUCCACAGUCAUUAAUCAUGUAGUCUAAGUAUUAUUUGCUACAUGGUAUUAUAAUGUUUAGUAAAGCUGCAUAAUGCAUGUUGUAAUGUUACUAUAGGUUCAUAACACGAAGUUAUUCCCUUUUUAAAAAUACAUGUAUCCAUUGCCUCAUUUUUGUGUUCCUUAAUUGACACCUAUUUUGUAUAUCUUGUCUCUUGAUGUCUCUUUCUCUCUUUUGCUUUUCUCUCCUCCUCAUGUAUAUGUAUACUGUAUGUCUAACUCUUGCUCUUUCUUUUUUCUUCUCUAGGUAUACCUCUCAGUCUCACAUGUCUUCACUCUUUCUCGCGUUAGCGCAAACAUAACUGCAUUGUCUGUUGAGGUCCCAUCAAAUGUACUUGCUGAAAUAUCUGGCAAAUAUUGUGGAAACAGAAACACAUGCUAACAAACGUUGUGGAGAAUGGAAAGACAAAUACUUGCCAAUUAAUGAUAA